UGGCUCAGAACGAACGCUGGCGGCGUGGAUGAGGCAUGCAAGUCGAACGGGAUUCCGAUGGUAGCAAUAUUAUCGGAGUCCAGUGGCGAAAGGGUGAGUAAUGCGUGGGCAAUCUGCCUUUAUGUUGGGGAUAGCCUGGGGAAACCCGGGAUAAUACCGAAUGUGGUAGUCGGUCGCAUGACUGACGAUCCAAAGCCGGGGACCGCAAGGCCUGGCGCAUGAAGAUGAGCCCACGUCCUAUCAGCUUGUUGGUGAGGUAACGGCUCACCAAGGCUUACGGGUAGCUGGUCUGAGAGGAUGGUCAGCCACACUGGGACUGAGAUACUGCCCAGACUCCUACGGGAGGCUGCAGUCGAGAAUCAUUCGCAAUGGGCGCAAGCCUGACGAUGCGACGCCGCGUGCAGGAUGAAGGUCUUCGGAUUGUAAACUGCUGUGAUGGGGGAGCAAUGCGGGACGGAUUAACACCCCGUACCGUUGAUAGUACCCCAAGAGGAAGCCACGGCUAACUCUGUGCCAGCAGCCGCGGUAAUACAGAGGUGGCAAGCGUUGUUCGGAUUUACUGGGCGUAAAGGGUGCGUAGGCGGUCUUGUGUGUCGGAUGUGAAAUCCCACGGAUCAUCCGUGGAACUGCAUUCGAAACUGCAGGGCUGGAGUGCAGGAGAGGAAGGUGGAAUUCUCGGUGUAGCGGUGAAAUGCGUUGAUAUCGAGAGGAACGCCGGAGGCGAAGGCGACCUUCUGGACUGCAACUGACGCUGAGGCACGAAAGCUAGGGGAGCAAACAGGAUUAGAUACCCUGGUAGUCCUAGCCGUAAACGGUGUGCACUUGACGUGGGAGGAAUUAUCCCCUUCCGUGUCGAAGCUAACGCGAUAAGUGCACCGCCUGGGGAGUACGGU
rnacentral:rRNA from 1 species